GCUAGCGUUGCUUCAAAACAAAUUAAGUACGAUCGCCGUCUUAUAUCUGAAGUGAAUGUGAGUAAGGGCUCAAACCACCAAUGUUUGGCCACUUUGAUGUGAAACAAAACUACCGAAUUUGCCAUGUUAGGACACAUUGAGGGGCUUCAUAUAUAACUCAUGCUGAAACACGUGUUUGGAAUAUCUUUAUUGCGUCACAGUUCAGUAUUGUCGCUCUGAGCGAACAACACGCUGAAAUAUUCCUCAGCUAUUUUGCCAUUUACGACCUUCGGCGUGUAAACGGGCGAGGAAUUGUUUGUUUGAUAAUCUGGAAUUUUGUUGGUAACGAGUGUACCUAAUUGUUGACAGAUCCCUCGACGUCGACGACGUGUAUAAAAUACCGAGUUGCGGUUUCUAUAAAUCACUUGUUAACCGGACGUUUUCAACGCUCUUGAGAUUCAAGACAAUUACAUGCAGAUUGUUGCUUCAUAGCUUUUCAAAGACCAACAUCGCAGUCUCGUGCGUGUUCUUUCAACGUCCUACGCUCAUUUCGAAAUGGCAAGGGACAGCCGGACGGAGUUCUUGGAUAGGGAAAUGCGGCCACUGUCGGCGACUCCUGAAUUUGAAACCGAAGUACCACAGACUCAAAGAGCAAGUAAAAAAGUCUGCAGGAUCGUCCCUUUCCGCACUACGCUAGAAAGGGCAUUGGCAUUCGUGGCACUCAUUUUGUUACUUAUUUGCGCGGUAGUAAUCGCGCUUUUGGCCGUCCAAAAAGGGAAAGAAAAUGUUCGCGAGCCAGAUAAGAUCAGUAAG